rnacentral:rRNA from 1 species
GCUGACGAGUGGCGGACGGGUGAGUAAUGUCUGGGAAACUGCCUGAUGGAGGGGGAUAACUACUGGAAACGGUAGCUAAUACCGCAUAAUGUCGCAAGACCAAAGAGGGGGACCUUCGGGCCUCUUGCCAUCGGAUGUGCCCAGAUGGGAUUAGCUUGUUGGUGGGGUAACGGCUCACCAAGGCGACGAUCCCUAGCUGGUCUGAGAGGAUGACCAGCCACACUGGAACUGAGACACGGUCCAGACUCCUACGGGAGGCAGCAGUGGGGAAUAUUGCACAAUGGGCGCAAGCCUGAUGCAGCCAUGC